rnacentral:misc_RNA from 1 species
CCGAGUUUACAACUCCCAAACCCCUGUGAACAUACCUACUGUUGCCUCGGCGGAUCAGCCCGCGCCCCGGUAAAACGGGACGGCCCGCCAGAGGACCCCUAAACUCUGUUUCUAUAGUGUAACUUCUGAGUAAAACCAUAAAUAAUCA